rnacentral:rRNA from 1 species
AACGAACGCUGGCGGCAUGCCUAACACAUGCAAGUCGAACGAGACCUUCGGGUCUAGUUGCGCACGGGUGCGUAACGCGUGGGAACCUGCCCUUAGGUUCGGAAUAACUCCCCGAAAGGGGUGCUAAUACCGGAUAAUGUCUUCGGACCAAAGAUUUAUCGCUUUUGGAUGGGCCCGCGUUGGAUUAGCUGGUUGGUAGGGUAAAAGCCUACCAAGGCGAAGAUCCAUAGCUGGUCUGAGAGGAUGAUCAGCCACACUGGGACUGAGACACGGCCCAGACUCCUACGGGAGGCAGCAGUGGGGAAUAUUGGACAAUGGGCGAAAGCCUGAUCCAGCAAUGCCGCGUGAGUGAUGAAGGCCUUAGGGUUGUAAAGCUCUUUUACCCGGGAUGAUAAUGACAGUACCGGGAGAAUAAGCUCCGGCUAACUCCGUG